rnacentral:tRNA from 2 species
AAAGCCUUAGCUUAAUUAAAGUGUCUGAGUUGCAUUCAGAAGAUGUGGGAUAAAGUCCCGCAGGUUUUA